GCCUGGCUGGCUCAGUCAAUGGAGCAUGUGACUCUUAAUCUCAGGGUCGUGAGUUCAAGCCCCACAUUGGGCA
rnacentral:tRNA from 1 species